rnacentral:rRNA from 1 species
CCUANGGGGGGCUGCAGUAAGGAAUAUUGCGCAAUGGGCGAAAGCCUGACGCAGCGACGCCGCGUGGGGGAUGAAGGUCUUCGGAUUGUAAACCCCUUUCGGGAGGGAAGAUGGAAUGGGGUAACCCAUUCGGACGGUACCUCCAGAAGCAGCCACGGCUAACUUCGUGCCAGCAGCCGCGGUAAUACGAAGGUGGCAAGCGUUAUUCGGAUUUACUGGGCGUACAGGGAGCGUAGGCGGUUUGGUAAGCCCUCUGUGAAAUCUCCAGGCUUAACCUGGAAAAGUCGGAGGGGACUGCUGGGCUAGAGGACGGGAGAGGAGCGCGGAAUUCCCGGUGUAGCGGUGAAAUGCGUAGAGAUCGGGAGGAAGGCCGGUGGCGAAGGCGGCGCUCUGGAACGUUUCUGACGCUGAGGCUCGAAAGCGUGGGGAGCAAACAGGAUUAGACCCGANUANUC